rnacentral:sRNA from 1 species
GGUGAAUGGAUGCUUCCCGAAUCAACACAUCCGUUCCUUGCACCUUUCCGAAGAGUUGCACCUUUCCGAAGAGUUGCGCCCUUCCGAAGAGUUGCACCUUUCCGAAGAGUUGUAUCUCUUCGCCCAUAACCGCCCAGUUCGUCUGUCACUCGUCCAGCUACCUCGAGCUCGUCCGUCACUCGUCCAGCUACCUCGAGCUCAACCGUCACUCGUCCAGCUGCCUCGAGCUCAACCGUCACUCGUCCAGCUGCCUCGAGCUCAACCGUCACUCGUCCAGCUGCCCGAGCUGGACUGUCACUCGACCUGAGUAACUGUCACUCCUUCCAGCUGAGCUUGAGCUUUGGGCGAGCUGACCCAAGUGAUUUCUUUACGAUCCUAGCUUAGCCUGCAUGAUUUCCCCUUUGUCCGAGCUUAUAGCCAGCUCCUUCUCACUUGUCCGAGACUCCACCUUCUUCUCUCGGACCAAGUCCUAGCCAACGAUCCUAUUGAGGAUCGCGGGCGUUACAAUUCCACUGAAGAGUGUAAACAUCUUCUGAAUAUCCUCCUC